rnacentral:rRNA from 1 species
UACAGAGGUGGCAAGCGUUGUUCGGAAUUACUGGGCGUAAAGGGCGCGUAGGCGGCCCGUCAAGUCCCGUGUGAAAGCCCCCGGCUCAACCGGGGAACGGCGCGGGAAACUAGCAGGCUUGAGUUCGGGAGAGGGAAGCGGAAUUCCGGGUGUAGCGGUGAAAUGCGUAGAUAUCGGGAGGAACACCAGUGGCGAAGGCGACUACCUGGCCCAUUCUUGACGCUGAGGCGCGAAAGCUAGGGGAGCGAACGGG